UAGAUUAACAGGCUUUUACCCUGCGACCUUUUAGUUAACAGCUAAACACUCCAUCCAGCGAGCUUUAAUCUA
rnacentral:tRNA from 1 species